rnacentral:rRNA from 1 species
GGGCCCGCACAAGCGGUGGAGCAUGUGGUUUAAUUCGAGGCAACGCGAAGAACCUUACCAGCUCUUGACAUCCUGGUCGGGGCUCCAGAGACGGAGCCUAUCAAUUGGCCAGUGACAGGUGCUGCA